CGGGUGAGUAACGCGUAAGUAAUCUACCCUCGCAUUUGGGAUAACCCACCGAAAGGUGUGCUAAUACCGGAUACGUCUAUUUUAAUAUCUUUUUUUAUAGAGAAAGGUGGCCUCUGAUUCAAGCUACUGUGCGGGGAGGAGCUUGCGUACCAUUAGCUAGUUGGUAGGGUAAUGGCCUACCAAGGCAACGAUGGUUAGCGGGUCUGAGAGGAUGAUCCGCCACACUGGAACUGAAACACGGACCAG
rnacentral:rRNA from 1 species